UGUUCUGCUCCCAAAUCAUUCUCCAGAAAUCAUUUACUGUUUCUUCUUUUGGUCCUAAAAAGACAAAAAUCAAACACAGACACACAAAAAGAGAAAGGAACACCACAAUGAAAGAGCAGCCUUCCUCCAAGACAAAGCUGGGUGCACCUCAGCCUCCCUCUCCCUGGAGCACUGUGCCCUGGGUUCACAUCAGCAAACAUACAAGGAUUCCCUUCACUGUGCGUUUUGAGACCACACAACAUCGCUCUCUCAACUCUGCUGACCCUGGCAACUUGAUAGCAUCCAUACAAGAGGAACCUCAUAUUAGUGCUGCAGAGUGACCUGUUAAUCCCAGCCCUCAGAGUUGAAGGAAAUCUUUCCCCAUUAGCAGCAAUCAUAAUGCAGUUUCAAUUGGAUAUGGUGUUCUUCAUUUGCUUCUCGUCCAGCUGCAAGCUGUUAAAAAGCAGUUGCUGUGUUGCACUCCAGAGAUAGUUUCAGUCCCAUGAUGGGUGAAGUGUAAGGGAGACCAAGAAUCAUGACGUGUUGCCAAGUGGUUAAUAAACUGAGCUGACGUUCUCUUACUCCACUGCUGACCUGCAAACUCUUCCCAACAACCAGUCUAAUUCCCAAAUCCAUCAGCAUGGGCCCAGCAGGCUCUGAUCAGAGAAACAGUGCCCGAGCCAGGCAAGAACCAUGACCAGAGGAUCCCCUCCCUGAAGGAAGCGCAGUCUGGCCUUGUAUAAUCUGCGGAGUCAUUGAAUUUGCCCAUCAAAGGGCCUGAAGUAAGGAAUUUCCCCCAAAGCACAGACAUCGUGAUGUGUGAUAACCUUACUGGUGAGCUCAGGUACCACAGUCUGAGCACCACUCAGCACCCACACAAGUCAGCAGACACCCUGCAGGCUCCUGGCUAGAGCGUUUAAAAAGGGUUCUUUGCUUUUCUUGUUGAUGCCAAUUUGUAUUUUGGAGAGAAUAAAAUGGAUUUAAUUCCUGGCU